rnacentral:ncRNA from 1 species
CGGGGGCCCGCAGUCCCCCCGUCAGACGGUCCCCCGUCCAAGCACUGC